CAGUAGCCGCGGGAAUACGUAGGUGGCAAGCGUUGUCCGGAAUUAUUGGGCGUAAAGCGCGCGUAGGCGGUUUUUAAGUCUGAUGUGAAAGCCCACGGCUCAACCGUGGAGGGUCAUUGGAAACUGGAAAACUUGAGUGCAGAAGAGGAAAGUGGAAUUCCAUGUGUAGCGGUGAAAUGCACAGAGAUAUGGAGGAACACCAGUGGCGAAGGCGACUUUCUGGUCUGUAACUGACGCUGAUGUGCGAAAGCGUGGGGAUCAAACAGGAUUAGAUACCCCUGUAGUCCCUGUCUCUUAUACA
rnacentral:rRNA from 1 species